UUUGAUUCCAUGAUCUGCUUAAGAACAUCAAGUUCUGUCUUUUGCUUCUGAUACAUCUCCUUAAAAUCAUCGCGUUCUCUGGAAACAUCAUUAAGUUGCGUUGAGAGAGAUUUGUUUAAUUCCAGCAUCGCCAAACAUUUCUUAUAAAUCAUCUCAUAAUUUUCCGCCAGGUAGCUUUCAUCAAGUUCCUCAGUGUCACUAUCAGUCUCUUCACAAGUUACAACAUCCACAGCA
rnacentral:lncRNA from 1 species